rnacentral:rRNA from 1 species
UACGAAGGGGGCUAGCGUUGUUCGGAAUUACUGGGCGUAAAGCGCGUGUAGGCGGUUGUUCAAGUCAGGUGUGAAAGCCUUGAGCUCAACUCAAGAAAUGCACUUGAUACUGGAUGACUAGAGGACCGGAGAGGAUAGUGGAAUUCCCAGUGUAGUGGUGAAAUACGUAGAGAUUGGGAAGAACACAGUGGCGAAGGCGGCUAUCUGGACGGUUUCUGACGCUAAGACGCGAAAGCGUGGGGAGCAAACAGG